AAGUGUGGAUUUAUGAACAAAUACAUGUUGGUUGUUUUUUCCUGUGGUUUGUCUUCAGUGGUACAUUCUUCUUUAUGAAUCAAUUUGACCUGUUUUAAUUUAAAUGUAUGAAUGUCUGAUCAGGAACAGUGUCCUCUGACACUGAGUGCUCUGACUGCAGCAAUGGAACCUUAGAUGGACCACUCACAUCUUGUGGACCCCACACACAAUGUAAGACAAGAAAUCAUCAGCUGGUAAAAGCAGGAACAGCUUCAGCUGAUUCUCAAUGUGAAGAAAAACACACUACCAACAAAUCA